AGCCUGUGAUGAUGAUUUUAUAUAAGAGUAGUGGACAGAAGUGAUUUCUGAAAACUUAUAUCUGAGGCU